UAGGGAAUCUUCGGCAAUGGGGGCAACCCUGACCGAGCAACGCCGCGUGAGUGAAGAAGGUUUUCGGAUCGUAAAGCUCUGUUGUCAGUCAAGAACGGGUGUGAGAGUGGAAAGUUCACACUGUGACGGUAGCUUACCAGAAAGGGACGGCUAACUACGUGCCAGCAGCCGCGGUAAUACGUAGGUCCCGAGCGUUGUCCGGAUUUAUUGGGCGUAAAGCGAGCGCAGGCGGUUUGAUAAGUCUGAAGUUAAAGGCUGUGGCUCAACCAUAGGUCGCUUUGGAAACUGUCAAACUUGAGUGCAGAAGGGGAGAGUGGAAUUCCAUGUGUAGCGGUGAAAUGCGUAGAUAUAUGGAGGAACACCGGUGGCGAAAGCGGCUCUCUGGUCUGUAACUGACGCUGAGGCUCGAAAGCGUGGGGAGCGAACAGG
rnacentral:rRNA from 1 species